CUCUCUCUCCCAGGCCCCAGCUCACUUUCCCCAACCUGCCUGUCCCUUUCCUCACACGCGCAAGCACGAAGCAAGAGAGUGGGCGAUUUCAGCUCCGUUCACCGAUUUUCGUACGAUUAAGGCCGAUAAUCGAUAUAUAUGCGGCGAUUAUCGAUGAUGCUGCAGCUCGGAGCGAGGGAGCUGUGAUCGUGGCAUCGAUAAUCGAGCUCAUCAAAAAGAUUGCGAAUGAUGUUGGCACUGAUCAUGUUGUCCAAGUAGUGACAGAUAAUGGAUCCAACUACAAGAAGGCAUGUCAGUUGCUUAAUGCCGAGUAUCAACACAUAGUUUGGCUCAGUGAGUUCUACCUUCAGCUAUCCACGUCCACCCUCCUACCCAUAUCCAUACCCAUAACCAUGCCCAUAUCCGUACCCACAGCCAUAUUCACACCCACCACCAUAUCCAAGCCACUUCAUUCAACUACCGAUACAUCUUGGCAUGAGCACUAGUGGUCAGAUUGGUGAAUUACAGGAAUAUUAUUAUGGAUAUCACACGUACCAGUAAGAAGAGACCGAAGAAUGAUUAAAUUGAUAUGCCGAAUGCCUUCAUGUAUGGACUAUGUGCUUGCUAGUUUGUAUAUGGCUUGUAUACACUAUGUACUCUUGUUUUCUAUGUACUAUGAGGUUUGUAUGAACUAUGCACUCUUUUUGUUUAUGUGAACUAUGAAGUUUGUAUGGACUAUGCACUCGUUUGUUUAUAUGGACUAUGCACUUCGUGGUUUGUAUACAUGUGCAAAUUCAUGUGCUUUAUGCAAUUUCAUGGGCAAAAUAUGUAAACAUGUUUAUUUCUUAG